UCUGCUAUUGUUUACUGUCGCCCACAAUCGACAUUACUCUCGUUGGGAAAUUAGAUGAAUGAAGAAUGCAGCAGUUGACUUUACCGCGCGGUAUUGAGUGUACCGGUGUACCUAUAUGUAUAUAUGAUUAUUAUUUAUUUUUCUUUAUUGAUUAAUCAUCAACUACAUAGGUUGUUUUAGGUUACGAGUGUACAUUUUAACGUUAAAGAUUAUACACUAUUAUACAAAUCGAUUUUUUUUCAAAUAUGAAGUUAUGUUUUGGAGGUUCGAGAAUGGACCAAUUGCUUCAUACAACUUGUCCGGGAUGUUGAAGUCUUUUCUGACUUCUUCAAAGUUGGGGCAGUGGAUGAUUACGUAUAAUAUGCUUGAUGGAGUAGUUUGCGUCACAUGUUGGGCAUAGGGGUGGAUCUGUCUUUGCCAUAAAAUGUCUGUGUAUCAGUGUAUUUCAACCAGAGUUCAACGGAGUGCUUAUUUUCUCUUAAUUUAUUUUCUGUGGUCGUGUGCUAAGGUUCCGUAACAAAUGAUAUUUAUUUGGAUCACUUACCUGUUCUGACCGAAAAUUUUUAUUGGACCAUCAAUACAUCUCCGAGGUCCAUCAAUAGAUACGUUUGUGGGAACGAUUGCAGCAGUCUUGUUUUCAAAAAUGUGGCUAUAAAUCACCCAGCACGACUACAGCGGGGAGGACUGUGAAUCUAAGGGAUAUAACUUUACAUUUUGUAACCGAAAAAGUUAGACAGUAAUUAUUAUACUUCAGAUUAGAUUAAUACAUUAUUUAUUAUUAUUUAUUCUUGUUUCUUAUAUUUAGAUAACUAUCUAAUUUUUAACAAGUAUAUCAAAAAGUCACUUUUUUAAAUAUUUUUUUUUUCUCGAGACAUAUUUCUUGCCACAAUAUCAUGUGUUUACAGUUAACUUUUAAUACAAUUAUGUUUUUGUUGC